GCUGGUGCUCAAGCAGGAGGAGUUAAGUUCUGAUCCUCACCUGAUGUCCAGAAGAUGGGACCAGGCAGGCUUCUGAGCAUCAUAUUUGUAGUCGGGACUGUCUAUGGCUCCAAGGAAUCUCUGGAAAUUAUCCCUAGCAAUGGGGAGGUGCAAUUGGGCGAAAAGGCCAUUUUCUUGUGCAAAGUGAGAGGAAGCGGGGAAGCUGAUUUAGUCUGGAUCGACCCCAAGGGGGAAGAAAUCUCCGAGGAAUCGGA